GAUGAAGAACGUAGUGAAAUGCGAUACGUAAUGUGAAUUGCAAAUUCAGUGAAUCAUCGAAUCUUUGAACGCACAUUGCGCCCCUUGGUAUUCCGAGGGGCAUGCCUGUUCGAGCGUCAUUAUAACCCCUCAAGCUCAGCUUGGUGUUGGGGCCUGCUGCACUGGCAGCCCUUAAAAUCAGUGGCGGCGCCAUCUGGCUCUAAGCGUAGUAAUUCUUCUCGCUAUGGAGUCCUGGUGGAUGCUUGCCAUCAACCCCCAAUUUUUCUAUGGUUGACCUCGGAUCAGGUAGGGAUACCCGCUGAACUUAAGCAUAUCAAUAAGCGGAGGA
rnacentral:misc_RNA from 1 species